rnacentral:lncRNA from 1 species
ACAAAGGCUAGGAGGAUGGUCCAUUACUUCAAUCCAUACUUCAUGACACUUAGGACAAACUUAUGCAUCACCUCAAAGUAUCUUAAAUGAUCCACGAUUAAUUACGAGGUAGAUUUGAAAUGAUAAAAUUUCAUCAAGCACCAAUCCACAAAUCAUGAACAAGAUGGACACAAGUUAUUACAUUAAUCAAAAGGGGAAAAGAAAGAGAUGAAGAAAAAGGGGACAAGAGAAGCCACACCCAAAUUGGACCAAAGGUUUGAUCAAGUCAUGAUUAAGAUCAC